AUGACACUUGUCUGUCUCGAUGAUAAUCUCUUCUCUUUAGAGUCUUUUUUCUUUUCUUUUCUAGAGAGAAAAGAAGAAAAAAAAAAAAGAAGAAUAUGAAGAAAAGGUGUGGGUUGGAGUGUAGCUUGUACUAGAAGACUGAAGUUGGAAAGCAACCAACCAUUUUUAUUGCAACCUCAGAGAAUUCGAUGCUCUCUCUCUUUCCUUUUUUAUUUUCUAUUUCAAAAUCAUAUACUCUUUUGUUUUUAGCAUCCUAUGAAAUAUACGAUUUCAGACAUUUUAUUUUAAUUUAAACAAGAGUGCUAUUUGCAAUUGAAGGUGAGUUUUACAUAUUAUUUGUGUUCAAAGUUUCGUACAAUAUUGUUAGGAGCAGUCUAACUCAUUCGUUCCACUAUGUUCAGCCCAUGUGCCAGAAUGAUGUUCGUAUAUACGGAUAACAUAACUACCCAUAGGAUUGAAAGGAACGAAGCUAGGGAUAUUAACACUUGAACCAAUAUUAAUUUUAAUUUGUAUUUCAUAGUUUAUAAUCAUGAGGUGUAGUUCAAUUAUAAAAUAUAUUUUGCAGUCUUAUAUAAUGACUUAAAAGGGGAUAAUACAUAGUAUACGUAUGGAAUUGGCUUAAUAUCCAAUGAAAAUAUAAUAUCUUGCAACAUCAACCACUUUUGUAAGGAUAUUUUAAAAUUGAUGAUAUACCAUGAAAAAGAUAGUGAUAUCUCUCAUCAAAUAAUAAUUAGGAGUAGGGAUGACAAAAGUGACUAACCCUCCCUAAUUAGGAGUGGAAAUACGCU
rnacentral:lncRNA from 1 species